ACAUGUGGUUCAAUUCGACGCAACGCGAAGAACCUUACCUGGGCUUGAAGUGCACUGGACCAGCCGUGGAAACAUGGCCUUCCCGCAAGGGACCGGUGUAGAGGUGCUGCAUGGCUGUCGUCAGCUCGUGCCGUGAGGUGUUGGGUUAAGUCCCGCAACGAGCGCAACCCUUACUUGUAGUUGCCACCCGCAAGGGGGAACUCUACAAGGACUGCUCCGGAUAACGGAGAGGAAGGUGGGGAUGAGGUCAAGUCAGCAUGGCCUUUAUGUCCAGGGCCACACACGUGUUACAAUGCGCACCACAGAGCGUCGCAAACCCGCGAGGGGGAGCUAAUCGCAAAAAAGUGCGCUCAGUUCGGAUUGCAGUCUGCAACUCGACUGCAUGAAGCUGGAGUCGCUAGUAAUGGCGCAUCAGAACGGCGCCGUGAAUACGUUCCCGGGCCUUGUACACACCGCCCGUCACAUCACGAAGGUGGGCUGUACUAGAAAUCGCCAAGCUAACUCGCCUCGGCGAGAGGCAGGCGCUCAAGGUAUGGCUCAUGAUUGGGGUGAAGUCGUAACAAGGUAGCCGUAGGAGAACCUGCGGCUGGACUCACCUCCUUA
rnacentral:rRNA from 1 species